rnacentral:sRNA from 1 species
CCCUAGCCCUGAUAGUAGUGGAAAUCCUCCCGAUUUUUUUCGGGAGAUUGAAACGGAUAGCAGGAUUAGCU